rfam:Felis catus isolate Cinnamon breed Abyssinian chromosome F2, whole genome shotgun sequence.
GCCUGGCUGGCUCAGUCGGUUAAGGGUCUGACUUAGGCUCAGGUCAUGAUCACACGGUUCAUGGGUUUGAGCCCCGUGUCAGGCU